CAAGGCGACGAUCCCUAGCUGGUCUGAGAGGAUGACCAGCCACACUGGAACUGAGACACGGUCCAGACUCCUACGGGAGGCAGCAGUGGGGAAUAUUGCACAAUGGGCGCAAGCCUGAUGCAGCCAUGCCGCGUGUAUGAAGAAGGCCUUCGGGUUGUAAAGUACUUUCAGCGGGGAGGAAGGUGUUGUGGUUAAUAACCGCAGCAAUUGACGUUACCCGCAGAAGAAGCACCGGCUAACUCCGUGCCAGCAGCCGCGGUAAUACGGAGGGUGCAAGCGUUAAUCGGAAUUACUGGGCGUAAAGCGCACGCAGGCGGUCUGUCAAGUCGGAUGUGAAAUCCCCGGGCUCAACCUGGGAACUGCAUUCGAAACUGGCAGGCUUGAGUCUUGUAGAGGGGGGUAGAAUUCCAGGUGUAGCGGUGAAAUGCGUAGAGAUCUGGAGGAAUACCGGUGGCGAAGGCGGCCCCCUGGACAA
rnacentral:rRNA from 1 species